UAGCCUGUUUAAGUCAAAUCUAUAUCUAGUUAUGUAAAAUCUUCACCUAAAUGCUCAUAACCUUUUAUUUCUACAAACUCCACUACAUCAUUAAAAAAGUUUUGUGUCAUCAUAAACUUCACUGUUU
rnacentral:pre_miRNA from 1 species